CAGUCGCGCGGUAAUACGGAGGGAGCUAGCGUUGUUCGGAAUUACUGGGCGUAAAGCGCGCGUAGGCGGUUACUCAAGUCAGAGGUGAAAGCCCGGGGCUCAACCCCGGAACUGCCUUUGAAACUAGGUGACUAGAAUCUUGGAGAGGUCAGUGGAAUUCCGAGUGUAGAGGUGAAAUUCGUAGAUAUUCGGAAGAACACCAGUGGCGAAGGCGACUGACUGGACAAGUAUUGACGCUGAGGUGCGAAAGCGUGGGGAGCAAACAGGAUUAGAUACCCCCGUAGUCCCUGUCUCUUAUACA
rnacentral:rRNA from 1 species